GGUGCUCCAAUGUCCACAGGGCAGAGGGGAUCCUGCUCCCCACAGUCUGUGCUCUGCACUUGCUGUCUCUGGCCUGGGCAGCAGAUCCAGCCACACAGGAACUGGAGGAGAGGUCACGGGUAGCAGUGAAUCCUUACCUUGGUUGUCGUAGGAAGUGAUGACCUGGGUCUGCUGAGGGUGCUGUUUCUCCGCCAGGUUUCCUGUAGACGCAAGACAGAGGGACCUGCAGUGGCCACAGGGACCGUGGAGGAGUUUGCCCCAGGCAAAGCAAGGAGCAAGGAGCUGUGUGCGUCCGCCAGAAAGAGAUUGAAAGGAAAACAAAAUGAAAAGAGAGAAUUUACCAUGCACGUCAUUUCCUUCAAAUUUCUGCCAUCUCCGGAUUCCAUUUCCGACACCUUGGAGUCCUGUGGGAUAACAAGGUCUGGAGUGAGGUUCUCAGUGGCCGGGAGACCCAGGCCAGCGAGUGACAGGCCUGUCUCCAGCACAAGGAUGCUUUCCUGCUGCAAGUUGUGGAAAAUCCCCUCCAGUUCAGCAGAGGAGUUCACCGUCCUGCCAACUAGGAAGUCCAGAGGUGGGGCUGAGUGGUGCGGCACAGUGAGGCCCGGGCAAGGAGCCCUGUCCUCCACCCACAGGAUGAAGGAAUGUUCUUUCACAUCCCUCACAUCCCUCCCUGGACCCAUGACAGUUGCCAAAGGGAUGCCAGGUGCUGAUUGGAUUCUUGAACACAACACUGGUAAGAGAUGUGCUUAUCUAACCGGGACCUUCCCGGGAGCCGGGGCUGGGCUAGGGGCCUCGGCGUCAUGUGGCUUGAGUGGAGGGGGAAAGGGCCGGGUCUGGGUAGACAUUUCAUGUCUGAUUGGGCGGUACAUGUUUAAUAUGUUCUAAUGUAAAUGUAUUUUCACCCAAAGACAUGGCAUUGCUUACAUAUUAUGUUUUAAACACACCCUUAUGGGUUUAAACUUCUAAACGUCGUGUAUAAGAUUGUUGUCAUGAAGAAAAUACAUAACCUCAUGACAAACGUCUUCUUGAUAAAUACAUUUAUCCCAGCUUAAGCUAUGUUGAAAUGAAGCAAUAAUCAGAAUAAUUAAGACUUUGGGGGAUUGUGGUCACUUGGACCCUUUGUAGAGCUUUGGGUACACUUUGACCCAUGGCAUCUGAGUGAGCACAUACACAGACACACACAGAGGGCUUCUCUCCGAAGACGGUCACCAUACCCUUUGAAUGACGAUUCUCAUCUGCUUUUAUCCUUUGCCCUUGGUCCCAGGGGCAUGGACAUGUGGUCUGCGGCUUUCUGUGCCUUGGGAAGAGUCAGUGUUUGGAACAAGAUAACUUGGGAUUUCUUCUCUGUGUACUCAUCUUUAGUGCUUUCUGAAGAACGUUCUGGAUUUUGGGGCAGGAAGAUUUGGGAACGUUCUAGAUUUGGGGCAGGAAGAAGAUUUGGACAAGAAGAAGCCAUCCAUGCCCCCACCCCCCGUCUUAGCUGGUGCUUUCUAUCUCUUUCUGGCUGGAAUCCUGAAUCCAGUGAUUUUCUUCUCUCUCUUCUGUUCACUAGCAGAGUUAGCGGGACUUGGGGAAACAACCCAGACGUGCCAGAGAGUACCUCGUGGGUAAGAGCAUGAGCUUGUCAGACCGCUUCAGGUUCUGCCUGAAUGGGCUUCAGUGUCCUUGCACUUAGAGUGGGGAGACUGCUGCCGUGUCUUGAGGGUUUACUCUGUGCCAGGCUCUGGGUUACCAAUAUUUUCUACAUUACUUCAGCUCAUUCUCAAAAGCCAUAUGAGGUAGGUAUGAUCAGCUGUAUCUUACACAUGAGGAAACUGAGGCUCCGCAAGGCUAAUUUGACUUGCUCAAGGUCAAACAGUCGGCCUGUGACAGAGCUGAGGCGCAAGCCUCCUCUUUGUGACCCUGGGGACUCUGCUUCUAUCAGUCACUCUCCGCGUAGGGCUGUAGAGAGGAAGAAAUGGGAGACAGCGUGGAAAGAACCCGGGGCAGUGCCGGCAACCACGGGCUGCUCAACAAAUGGUGCUGGUUGCUGCCGCCGUUGUUGUUAUGAGAAGCAAAGGUCCUGGAUAAUCCCCAAACUGACAGCCGGCCCUGCAGAAUCUUGAGCUGGCCAUAGUCUCCCUGAAAAGUUGUUUAUUGGCCUUGUGGUUGUCUGAAGAAAGAGCUGUCUGUCCUCUCUCAAUUGCUUGGGCCCUCAGAAGGUAGGCUCGAGUUACUGAGCACAUACACCUGCUGUUCUGGGCCGGGAGGGGUUGGGGAGCUCAGGCGACCGAGCGCACAUCUGACCUGGGGUGGGGUCAGCAGUGUCCUUGGCACACUGAGGUGCUGGCUGGCCAAGGGCCUUCCAGCAGGGGCUGCUGCGGGUUCUCAUAGCCAGAGGCCUGGCAGGGGCAGUGGGGGCUGCUCUGGAUCCCCCAGUCUUCCUUCCUGUCAUCCUGGUACCCCACUGUUCACCCCAGACAUAGCAAGUCUCUUCCUGGAGACAGCUCCCCAUCAGCAGCCCUAAGGGCAGCUCCCGACCCAGGGAAAGGUCAGAAAAAUGCAAGUUAACAGCAGCUACAAAAUCAGCAAAUGCUGGCGAGUGCUGCUUUCUGUCUCACAGCACACCUGCUGAGCAGGGCAUUAUCAUGAGCAUCAUUGUAGGGGUGGGGGAACAGGCUAAUGAGAUGGGGUAACUUGACCGACUACGCACGGCAGGCACAGUAUGGCUUGCAGUAGACACAUCUAACAUGGAAGUUCAUUUUCUUAAUUGCGAUGCCCAAACAUCUCCCCCAAAGCAAAAGAUUAAGGCAGGGUCAUUUUAUUUUACUUCCCUUCAGUAAACUUUGACCUACCAAGAAAGCUGGGGAAAGCAUCAUCCAUGUGCUGGGAUGCUGCCCUCAUCCCCAAGCCUCACAACAGUUCUGCGAACUAUAGCUCAGAGAGGUUGGAUGACUCACCCCAGGACACACAGCUCUCUAUGCUUUCAUAGAACCAACUGUGGUCCCCCAGGAAAAAUGCACCAUGCAGAAGUUCUCAGAGUGUACCAGGACUCACAUUUUCUGACACCCACCAAGUGUGCCUCCAUCUUCAUUCAAUUUCUCAAAGGCUACAGGCUCUUCUCGCCACUUUAUGUGCUCCUCCAGGAGAAACUCUGACGUAACUCAGCUGAGCCUGCAGCAGGUCCAGAGAGGGGAGUUGCAGACUGGACACAGGAGCUGUUUGUCACCCCAUGUGCCCAGAAGGCUGAGAGAUGGCUUCUUCCUCCUUGUUGCUGCAGGGGUUUCCCCAGUGAUCGUCUCCAUUAAGAAUAAAUCUUGACCCCAUGCUGCCUGCUGGGCUCAGGCAAACCUUUGGCAUUUUGGCUGCAACUGGGGUCAGGAACGCGAGGCUGUAGGAAGUAUACAGUUUAAAUGGGUGCUGUUGCAAGUGACAGAACCCCACUCAACUCAACUUUUCAAAAAAAAAUUUUUUUUUAACGUUUUUAUUUUAUUUUUGAGACAGAGAGAGACAGAGCAUGAACGGGGGAGGAGCAGAGAGAGAGGGAGACACAG